rnacentral:rRNA from 1 species
AGAAUCAACGCUGGCGGCGUGCCUAACACAUGCAAGUCGAACGAGAAAGUGGAGCAAUCCAUGAGUAAAGUGGCGCACGGGUGAGUAACACGUGACUAACCUACCUUUUAGUGGGGGAUAACCUAGGGAAACCUGGGCUAAUACCGCAUAAUACCUACGGGUCAAAGCAGCAAUGCGCUGAAAGAGGGGGUCGCGGCCGAUUAGCUAGUUGGCGGGGUAAUGGCCCACCAAGGCAGUGAUCGGUA